rnacentral:rRNA from 1 species
UACAUGUGGGGCAAGCGUUGUUCGGAAUUACUGGGCGUAAAGGGUUCGUAGGUGGCCCGCUAAGUCACACGUGAAAUCCCUCAGCUUAACUGGGGAACUGCGUGUGAGACUGGCGGGCUUGAGUGCAGGAGAGGAACGCGGAAUUCCAGGUGUAGCGGUGAAAUGCGUAGAUAUCUGGAGGAACACCGGUGGCGAAGGCGGCGUUCUGGACUGUAUCUGACACUGAGGAACGAAAGCCAGGGGAGCAAACGGG